rnacentral:rRNA from 1 species
UACAGAGGGCGCAAGCGUUGUUCGGAAUUACUGGGCGUAAAGGGCGCGUAGGCGGCCUGUUAAGUCGAACGUGAAAUCCCCGGGCUCAACCCGGGAACUGCGUCCGAUACUGGCAGGCUUGAAUUCGGGAGAGGGAUGCGGAAUUCCAGGUGUAGCGGUGAAAUGCGCAGAUAUCGGGAAGAACACCUAUGGCGAAGGCAGCUCUCUGGGACGGUACUGACGCUGAGACGCGAAAGCGUGGGGAGCGAACAGG